rfam:Oryza glumipatula chromosome 4, whole genome shotgun sequence.
AAAAAAAAAAACCCUAGAUUUCCGUGUCCAACUUUAACUGUCCGUCUUAUAUGAAAUUUUUUUAUAAUUCAUAUUUUUAUUGUUGUUAGAUGAUAAAACAUGAUUAAUACUUUGUGCGUGACUUGUCUUUUUAAUUUUUUUCAUAAUUUUUUCAAAUAAGACGGACGGGCAAACAUUGGACACGAAAACCAUGGUUUGUCUUUUU